rnacentral:lncRNA from 1 species
CUCAGCUUUCUGAAAUGGUGUCCCACCGCAAGGACUGGAGAAGGUAUUUUGCAGAAGGUAGAACUUGUGAACAAUGUGGCUGUUUAGCUGAAGCUAUUUUCAAGCAAAGUGUUGAAGGUAAACCUCAGGUUCUCCUCCUGCCUUUUGCUAAGUAUAUGUCUUGAUGACAAGCCUUCUGCUGAUGAGCUGUGUUUCUGGACCGAUCAUGGUAGAAGUCAAUUAACGUGUCCCUCACUUGGGGUUUCUCAAGGUCAUCUAUGAACUGACUCUGUCUCAAAAAAAAAAAAGAAAAAAAAGAAAAGAAAGAACGAAAAAAAAAAACUAGGACAUGGCUAACAGGAAUGGGGACAAAGAAUCUGCACUGAUGAGGAAACUGAAACAGAAAAUCCAGAGUAAAUUCCACCAGGCCACACAGCAAGGUCUGAUAGAGCCAGGAGAGACUUUAUGAAAUCCAGACUCUCACACUAAUGCUCUAUCAGCUAGACCUCCAUGUGAGUCUCCCCAAUGUAGGUAGGAAGUGCUUUCCCUAAAAUGCUCAUAAAGCAAAUCAGAGCAAUGCUGCAUUCCAUGUGAUUUCUAAUUUGAAAUGCAAACAAUUGCCAAUUUGUUUGACUUGUAUUUAUAAUUAUUUCCUUGUGAAUUACUCA